CACGCCGUAAACGAUGAGUGCUAGGUGUCGGGGGUUCACACCCUCGGUGCCGGAGUUAACGCAUUAAGCACUCCGCCUGGGGAGUACGGUCGCAAGACUGAAACUCAAAGGAAUUGACGGGGACCCGCACAAGCAGCGGAGCAUGUGGUUUAAUUCGAAACAACGCGAAGAACCUUACCAGGACUUGACAUCCCUUUGACCGGUCCUUAACCGGACUUUUCCCUUCGGGGACAAAGGAGACAGGUGG
rnacentral:rRNA from 1 species